UCCCUGGUGGCUUAGACGGUAAAGCAUCUGCCUGCAAUGUGGGAGACCCGGGUUUGAUUCCUGGGUCGGGAA
rnacentral:tRNA from 1 species